rnacentral:rRNA from 1 species
AACGAACGCUGGCGGCAGGCCUAACACAUGCAAGUCGAACGGGCCCUUUCGGGGGUCAGUGGCAGACGGGUGAGUAACACGUGGGAACGUGCCCAUCGGUUCGGAAUAACCCAGGGAAACUUGGGCUAAGACCGGAUACGACCGCGAGGUGAAAGAUUUAUCGCCGAUGGAUCGGCCCGCGUCUGAUUAGCUAGUUGGUGGGGUAAUGGCCCACCAAGGCGACGAUCAGUAGCUGGUCUGAGAGGAUGAUCAGCCACACUGGGACUGAGACACGGCCCAGACUCCUACGGGAGGCAGCAGGGGGGAAUAUUGGACAAUGGGCGCAAGCCUGAUCCAGCCAUGCCGCGUGAGUGAUGAAGGCCCUAGGGUUGUAAAGCUCUUUCGCACGCGACGAUAAUGACGGUAGCGUGAGAAGAAGCCCCGGCUACUUCGUGCCAGCCGCCGCCGUAA